AAGCUGAAGGUGAGUGUUGGAGGGAACCAAAUCUCCAGCUGCAUGCACAGCACAAGGUUUGGUUUCCUCCAAUGUCUCAUCUUCAACUG
rfam:Zea mays cultivar B73 chromosome 1, whole genome shotgun sequence.